rnacentral:rRNA from 1 species
GCAAGUCGACUGGAAUUCUCUUCGGUGAGAUGGCGAGUGGCGCACGGGUGAGUAACGCGUACAGAAUCUACCUUUUACUGGGGGAAAGUCGCUGGAAACGGCGAAUAAUCCCGCAUAAGACUACAGUACUGCAUGGUACAGGAGUAAAAGGCCUUCGGGUUGGUAGAAGAUGAUUGUGCGUCCCAUUAGCUAGAUGGUAAGGUAACGGCUUACCAUGGCGACGAUGGGUAGGGGGCGUGAGAGCGUGGAC